rnacentral:rRNA from 1 species
UACGUAGGGCGCAAGCGUUGUCCGGAAUUAUUGGGCGUAAAGAGCUCGUAGGCGGUCUGUCGCGUCGGCUGUGAAAACUCGGGGCUCAACUCCGAGCUUGCAGUCGAUACGGGCAGGCUAGAGUUCGGCAGGGGAGGACUGGAAUUCCUGGUGUAGCGGUGAAAUGCGCAGAUAUCAGGAGGAACACCGGUGGCGAAGGCGGGUCUCUGGGCCGAUACUGACGCUGAGGAGCGAAAGCGUGGGGAGCGAACAGG